rnacentral:lncRNA from 1 species
GCCGUCUCUCUUUCCCUUUCCUCUUUUCUUUCUCUCACCUGUCAAACCAUCAAUCACCAGAAACCUAGCACAAAUUUGUGGAAAGUCACAAAAUUCGAGCCUAAAUCACUCAAUCUGUCUCCCUACAUCCGCGAAUCUUGCCGAUAUUUUCGAUUUCGUUAACAAAAUUCAAAAUCUCUAAUCUGAACCCUAGACCUAAACCGUGUUACUAAGAACCAUCUGUUCUCCCAUCGUUCUUUCAAAUCCAUGGCAUGCAUGACCGUGUCAUCGAAUUCAUUAUCAUUAUUCUUUAUCCAAAGGUCAAACGCAGUGACCACUGGACAUUGGGACUUUGUCCAAUGGGAGUUGCCUUUAACGAUCAUCUCCUCGUGCCGAGGUAAAUCUAUGUUACUUUUCCCUAUGUUCUUUACCAAUUUACCUCUAUUUGCUAACAUGACUCGACUAUCGUCACCUACCACUAUCAAUUUGAAAUCUGACUGGAACCCUAAGGCUUGAAUGCCACUAUAAAAGGGGCAUUCAAUGUCCUCACCUAACAUCCAUCGAAUACUGUCUGAAAUACAAAAGAAAGAAAUAAAGAAAAGGGUUAAAGCUUAAGGUUUCCUUACUAAGAACUCUCAGAUUUCUGUUUUCUUUUCUUAUCUCCAAUUCUGAGUUUGAUUGUUGUAUUGGUAUUGAGUUUGGGUCCCUAAACGGUUAUUAAACACUUCUUACUUGGUUUGUUUUCUGUAGAAGGUCAGUGCCUCUUGACCCCUCUCUUUAGUGUGGACUUGUCGUAUGGUUCUGUAUGAUUUCUUAACUGAUUUUCCAUCAUUUAUGUUAGUUGUUGAUGACAUGAACUUGUCUUUGUUAUAACCAGUCUUUGCAUGCUAUUUUCACUAUUAACUUAGGAACUUUCUGAUUGAAAUAUGCCACAUUGAUACUGUUAUUGAAUACGUGUAAUUAAAUUUUAGCCUUCAUGACUCAAUUCGAAAAAAUGACUCUAAGUUAAGUAAUAUUUUGUGAUCGACUUUGUUAAGCUUCUAUGAUUAAGAUAAGAUUAUCUUUUGUACAUAAUUUACCACUAUUGUUUGAACAAUGAUACUAGAUCAACUUAAAUCAUGUUCUUAAGCUUAUCUUUGUGUUUCUGUACCUUUAGGUUAUUCAACCCUCCUACUUGUGAUAAUAUGUUAAUCUUAUAGAUAGAAUCCAUGUGCUUCAUGUCAUGUAUUCAAUCUAUCCACUUUACUAAGUCUUGGAUGAUAAGUGUGAGAAUGAUAACCCGCUGGUUCUGCAUGUUUAAUGACCCCGUGUAUAGUUGUUGCCUUGAGACUCUUUUAGAGCUUCAUGCCUAGUUAAAUACUAUAAUGGUAAAUAUAGCACAUGAUCUAUUAGUCAAGUAAUUAGUUAUAUGUAUAUUAUUAUGGAAUAAAAUUAGGUUUCUAAGCUUCUUUGAAACACUAUCAACACUUACCACAUUGAACUAUUUUGAUAUCUAUGAAGUUUUUGCUAUUUUGGUUCAAUUCUUACUCUUCAUGUAAACUUGUUAGACUCUAAAUAGCAGCUUGCUCAUGCCAUUAUAGAGGAAUGAUCUUUGUGUGCCCUCUGUGAUAACUUAACCAUACAAUGAACCUUGAUAAUGUGUUAGGAACUUGCAUUCAUGAAUGAACAUAACUUAUUAGGAUAAAACUCUAUAGUGAGUACUAAUACUUGCCAUCUGAUGACUAGUUAAGUUCUGUGAAACUUCUGUUUUUAUGGUAUAAACCUUUGCACCUGAAUCCAAACCUAUUAUUAUUAAUUUGGAUAAGUUCACAUGCCAUCACCUGAAUUUAGUCUGAAUAAUUUUAUAUUUGUACCUAUGUGUUACAAUUUUGACCUCACUGUGGUAACACACUUGUUUGAGUUUGUAUUGUUUGUCAAAAGGCUUGCUUAGAAUGAUCUGUUCUCAUGACUCCAACUGUUAGGCUUAGCUAUGACUUCACACUAUUUUGAUAGGAUUGUCAUGUUAACUUGUAUCCAACCAUGUGUUGAGAUUUGUUGAGAUGCUAUGUUAAAACUGUUUACUUUCCCAACUGUUAACUCAGUAUGACCUGUUUACCUCAAUAACUUAAAGAAUAUGUUAUUCACCCAACUAGGUUUGUUCUCAACUAUGUUGAAGCUCUUCUUCAAAGUGUUUGUGUAUUGUUCUUAUACUUUGAACUUAUACAAAAGAACUCUGAGCAUCAAAUCUAUAGUGAAGACAACAGAACAUGUACUUAAACUCCCCUCUGCACAGUACUGACCUGUUAAUAUUUUCAGCCUAAAAACAUGAGUAAUUAAGCAUGCCUACUAUCUAUAUUUUGUGAUAUUGUGUCCCAACAGUGAUCUUAUGCCUACCUUUUAUCCUAUACAUUGAUUUAAAUCUCUGUUCAGUCAAAACUACGCCCUUAGCCGGUGUUUUGCCUUGAUGUUGAACUGCAGUACCUUAUUUGUUCACAGUUGUUGAGUUUUGUAUGUGCUUAAAAUUUUAAAAAGAAUGUUCACUAUGGCCUCUGCACCUACUCUUUGUGUCUUAGCAGUAUUAAGUCAUUCCGAUGAUUCUUUUAUUUAUGUUUAAGCCUUUGAGGAAGACUAGAAGCAGGUGGUUAAUGAUAUUUGGAUGUGAAACUUGUUAUGGUUGUGAUCUCUCUCCUUGACACAAGCACUUCUCGGGGUCCUUCAGACCCUCGUGAACUAUGAAGUGCCAAGGGUUCAAAGGGAAAUCAUAUCCAUAAAUAAUAAUUUUUAUCGAGCCUUUAAUCACUAACCUCUAUUAAUCCUCAUAGGAUUAGCAUAAAUAAAAUUAAUCUCACUACAGACUACAACUCUUUAUUACUAAUUAUAAUAUGUAUCUUACUAAAUUUUUUUACAAUUGAUAUACAUUAAUAAUUCUCUUUUUCUUUGUAUGCAUGAAUUCAACCCGGGCAUAUUGAGCCCAUUUGGAGCUCAAGUCCACUUUCAGUUCUGGGUCAUCGCAUUCAUGUCGAGUCUGUUGUUCGUGCACAUAAUAUUUGGCUUGAACAUUUGCUGGCCCAUAGCGAGAGUUUGGUUCUCCUUUCCUCUUCCUUUAAUUAUACUUGUUGUUCUCGGCCACCUCUGUGUGUGUGUAUAUAUAUAUAUGCAUAUAUAUAUAUAUAUAUAUGCAUAUUGAAUGUGUUGGAUAUAUUGUUCUUGUAGGAACAUAUGCAAACCAAGCUCAUAGGUAAAGAAUCAAAUCAGAAAUUAUACAUUUAAUUCCUCUAAUAUUAUCUGGUCGCUUAUUAAUUUCAAACUCAUUUUCCUAACAAAUGAAAGACUUUGUCUUGUUAAUCACUAAUAAUUUUUAAUAAGUUUUGGACUUUUGACAGAUUCUAGAAAGCAAAACGAACUCUCUCUGGAAAUCAGUUUUGCGAAAAAUAAUUGCUACAGUGUUCUCAAGAAAGAAAACCAAACACAUCCAAUGUUUAUAAACUAACGGGCUUCAACAAAUUUCAAAAUCAAGGUUUCGAUAAGGUAUACCUAUCUAUACUUGAGGCAUAUUUUCAAAUGGUUCACUUAUCUACUAAGUUACAUAUGGAUAACCAUAUUUAAUAAACACAUAACUUUCUUUCAAAUAAAGGAUUUGCUACAAGAUUUUUUUCUCGAAAAUGAAGUGUAUCUAGUUUUCUAUAUGAUAUAUUAAAGGACGAUUUCUCAUUAAACCAAAACUUAUGAACUUCUUUUCAAAGUACAUACACGGCCCUUUUCUUAAAUAAUGAAAUUUAGACUUAAUAUUUUGUAGAUUUUUGAGCACUUGACUAAGCAGAAUAUAGACGUUUCUUUCCCCGAACCUAGCCUAAACCUAAGGAGCUGCCUCAGGUAGAUUCUGAGGGGUACCUAACACCUUCCCUUUAGAAUAACUAGAACUCUUGCCGAAAUCUCACCGGUUAACAGACUGUUAGGAUAAUAAUCUUAUAAACCCAUAGGUACCCUAAUAUACCUUAAAAUAUUAGGUGACAGCUCUCUUUAUCAACUUCAAAUGAAUCAUUAGCUGUAUUUUGUUUGACUAGCGCAAAAUAGGAUGCAACAUCUAGUAGGUAUCCUCACCUUGAAAUUAGCUUUAGCACUUAUAAUGGCCGCCCGGAAACUAAGGCCUUACUUUCAAUGUCACAUAUCCCAGUAGUGACCACUUUUCCAAUACGAAACAUUCUUCAUAAUCUGGAGCGUUCAGGAAGUCUUGCCAAAUGGGAAGUCGAGUUAAGUGCAUUUGAUCUAACAUAUCAACCUUGCAUUGCUAUCAAGUAGCAAGUCCUAGCCGACUUUGUUAUUGACUUUAGUGUGAGUGUACUCUUGGAAGCUGAGAAUGAAGUGAUGUUUGCUUUUACAGCAGAUCCAGGGCUCAGGACCCUAUAUCUGACAGCUCCUCGAGUGUCGAUGGAUCUGGGCAGGGAAUUGUACUUAUUACCCGUACAAGUGAAAUAGUACGACAAGCCAUUGUCACGACCCCAAUUUCCCUCUGUAAAAUGUCGUGAUGGAACUAAGUCUUAGGGACUAGGUAAGCCUAAUACUUACUGAAUUAAUAGCAAACUCAACCCACAACUAUUAAAUAUGAAACAGAAAUUUAUCUAUACAAAGCCAAUAAUCCCAAAAUGGUAGUACAAAUCAUAACUCUACUGAGUUUAUUAGAAAAUCACUAAAUAAAAUUGUUCGAGAAUAGAAAUAACAGUACAAACUAAGAUUUCAAAAGGUAACUCUGAGGCCUGCGAAUACGACGACAGGUAUACCUUGAGUCUCCACAACAAAGUCUGAACCGCUAGCUAAUGAACAACCAACUCCGUAGUACCUAGAUCUGCACAAAAAUGUGCAGAAAGCGUAGCAUGAGUACACCACAUCGGUACCUAGUAAGUAUCAAGACUAACCUCGAUGAAAUAGUGACGAGGGAUAUUCAAGACACCUACUGGACUAGAUAAUCUGAACAAGUAUAAAUGUGAACUAGCAGGGGACAAUAUCAAUAAAGAGUUAAGCGUGAUAACAAUAACAAAACAAUGCUUGUAAUAAGAAACUAAGAGCAACAAUUAGCAACAGGGAAUAAACAGAUGAUAACGUUGUAGAGUAAGAUGAACACAGUUUAAGUCCGGUGAAACCAAAUAAAGGAACUCAAGUAAUAACUCAAUAAGAACAAUCGCUUUCACACCAUAUUUAUUCAAGAACUUCCACGAGGUACCAAACCUCAUAAUCACAAAUCACGAGUCCCAAUUCAUGAACCCUAUUCACUUGGUAUGCCCUUAUUACAAUUCAUAACCGCACGGACGACUCACUUUCUAAGAGCGUGACAAUAUCUAAUAUCUGCACGGACCACUUACGUGCCAACAAUAAUAAUGACUCAUGACUACACGAACAACUCACGUGCCAAUAGAACACCUCACCCACGGAAGGCAAGUAGACGAGAGUACAUGUAAAUGGUCAAUAACAUCAGGGUUCAUCUUCUUAAACUGAUACGGGUGAUCAAUUACAUGUAUGCUUUUGCAAGUGUUCUAUCAUAAUUCAAGUCAACAAGUAAGAGUAGAGAUAAUGAAAGUAAUAUAAGAAACGAUCACCAUAAAAUGUACAAGGUAUAACUCACACAAUUAGGCACACCACUACACAAACAUCAACAAUAACAAUGCCCCCAGGCCAUCACAAGUCAUCAUAAAUCAUUCCCCGAUAUAGCUCACCUUAUCUCGCCACGUGCACAACAAUAAAGUAAAUGCCCGCCUUGUCUCGCCGCACGUGCAUAAUAAUAUUCCCACCUUGUCUCGCCACAUGCGAAAACCUACAUAUAUCCCGCCUUGUCGUGCCACAUAUGCAAAUAUCAAUAACAACAAUAGCACGGACAACUCACGUGCGAACACUCCGACAAUCCUCUCAACAAUAUAACGUGUGCCAAAAACAUAACAAUACAAUAUAGGGUCUUUCACCACAUGUGCCCAUAUGCCACAACUUUUCCUCAAAAUAAUUUUAAUACCACAACCACGCAUAGCCUCGGCUCAACAACACUGAGUACAACAACAACAAUAACAACAAUAAUAAUAUGAGAGUACGGCAAGUAAAUCAACACAAGAACUUCAGAACACAAAGAAACGGAAGAAGAAGCUCACAAAGAAAGGCACAACAUGGAAUAAUUGUCUCAAAAUGAAUAGCUCAAUAAGGGGAGAGAUACUGUACAACAAUGAUUCCACAUAGGUACAACUUGACGAUAAGAGAUAUAGCAUGACUCAAAUGAUUUCAAAUAAGGAUAAGUCAAAAAUAAAAGGGAUAUCGAAACUUCAAUUAAGGUUAAGCAAUUAUAGAAAAGAUAACAUACUUCAAUUAGGUUAAACAAUUACGAAAAGACAACAUGGAAAUAAAAGAGGCAACAACUUCAGUUAAGACACAUAAGAGUCUAGUUGUCAAUAAAGGUAGAACAUGAAUCAAUUAAUUCCAAAUAAGACACGUAAGGGUGAAUCUAGUAAAUGGAGGAUUUAACAUGAUAAGACAACUUCAUUUUUUUAAUGGACAUAAGAACCUAAGAGCCUAAGAUGGUCAAAUUCUCACAAAUAAGCUCGAGUGCGUACUCAUCACCUCAUGUACACGGCCUUCACAUGACACAAUUAGCACAAAUAACUAAAAUCCUAAGGGGUAGUUCCCCAACACAAAGUUAGGUAAGAUACUUACCUCAAAGAAGAUAGACCGAUACUCUAAAAUGACCUUCUUGUGUGAAACACCCUCCGGACGGCUCAAAUCUAGCCAAAAUAACUUCAAAUCAUAAAUAAAACUCGUAGGAAAUAAUUCCGGAUAAUAAAGUUCCGAUCUUUAAUUAAAACUAAAAAGUCAACCCAAAAGUCAAUCCCAAACCCGCGUCUCAGAAUACAAAAAAAUUCAUAAAAUCCGAACACUCAUUCGAUAACGAGUCCAACCGUACAAGAAUUACAGAAUUCUGAUAUAAAAUUGCCCUUCAAAUCCUCAUUUUACAUUUUUGAAAGUUUUCCCAAAAUUUCUCAUUUGUCCUAUUCAAAUCACUAAUUUAAUGUUAAAAAUAAAGAUGGAAUUGUGAAAUAUAACUAAAUCCGAGUAAAGAAUACUUACCCCAAGGAAUUUCUUGAAAAAACCACGAAACAUUGCUCAAAUCCGAGGUUCAUAGCUCAAAAUAUGCUAAAAUACCUGAAACCUUCGAAAUAGAGUACUUAAAGGUCUUUUCCAGGGGUACCCUUAGCGAUCGCGGUCAAAACCUCGUGAUCGUGAUCAUAAAAAGUUUCCAGGACAGUUUUACUCUAUGCGAUCGCGGCCAUUUCCCCGCGAUCGCGAUGAACAAACUUCUAUUAACUCUACCAAACAGACUGUAGUGUAUCCACUAUAACCUUUUGUACACAACUCUAAAUGCCAAACGAUUUAAAUUUCUGAAAUCUAGACACAAAGAGCUAUAACUUUUAUUUUUGGAUCAUCUCCAAAUUUCUUAUAGAUUGCAAGAUAUGAACUUUCAAAGUCGGGUGAGUAACAUCCGAAUUUUCCUCUACGCGAUCGCGAAAAACCUUUCGCGAUCGCGAUUCACAAGCUCAUUUUCCCCAUUUUACUCUUCGCGAUCGCGACUAAUUCUACGCAAUCGCAAUGCACACUGCUGUAGCAAAAAACCAGCAACUAAAAAUGGCCAAAACAUUGUCUGAAACCACCCCGAAACUCACCCGAGCCCCUCGACACCCCGUCCUAACAUACCAACAAGUCCCAUAACAUAAUGCGGACCUGCUCGAGGCCUCAAAUCACAUCAAACAACAUCAAAACUACGAAUCGCACCUCAAAUCGAACUAAAUGAACUUAUGAACUUUCAACUUCUACGACUUGCGCUGAAUCAUAUCAAAUCAACUCGGAAUGACGUCAAAUUUUGCAUGCAAGUCCCAGAUGACAUAACAGAGCUAUUUCAACUUCCGGAAUCACAAUCCGAACCCUAUAUCAACAAAGUGAACUCCCAGUCAAACCUCUCAACCUUUCAAACCUUUAAUUUUUUAACUUUCGCCAAAAUGCAUCAAAUUAACCUACAAACCUCCAAAUCUAAAUUCGGACAUACGUCUAUGUCCAAAAAAACCAUAUGAAGCUAUUGAAAUCAUCAAAAUACCAUUCCGGAGUCGUCUACAUAAAAGUCAAACUCCGGUCAAGCCUAUUCACUUAAGCUUCUAAAACAAGAAUUGUUUCUCCAAAUCAAUACCGAAUCAUCCGAAAACCGAACUCGACCAAACGCGCAAGUCAUAAUACAUGAUACGAAUCUACUUGAGACCUUAAACCACCGAACGGAAUGCUAAUUCUCAAAACGACCGAUCGGGUCAUUAUAUUCUCCCCCUCUUAAACAAACGUUCAUCCUUGAACGUGCCAAGAACCGUUUUGAGGUAAUCAAAUCACUGAAUGUACUUACCACACAUUACUCGCGGGUGAUCCCACGUCACCCUAAUCGACAUAAGCUCGACAACACCAUCUCAAUUGAAGAUUAUUUCUCCCAUCCACACUGAUAAACCUUAGAAUCAAAUUUCUCACCAUCCGAUCAUUUCCAAAAGAACCGUUUCCCACAUCAACACACGGUACCAGCCCCAACCAGAUGUAAAACCUCGUGCCUACACCCACACGGUAUAACCAUACAAUGUAAUACAUCACACAUAUGCCCAUAAUAAUAACUCUAGCCACAAUAAUUGCCCACAAUCAACUACAACACCAGCAAUUAACCUCAUCUCAGUUUAAGCCUCGUUUCAAACUUUCAUAAUAAUUACAACGAUGUAAGAAAUAUGAAGACCUCAUAACUAUUCACCUGAUUCAUCCAGUCACAUUUAAUGCCACCUAGCCACACACCUCGUAAGCUAAAACUCAAUAAGCACAACGUGAAUAUGACUAAUUAUACAAAGAGAAACACAUGAGAAAACUAUCAAACAAGUCCAACAGGCACAACUCCCUAUCAGUACCAUACUACAAAUCAAUUUCACAAGGGAGAAUUAAAACACAUGAAUUAAUCACAAGGAUCUCAUCUUGAUAUAACUUUCAUCGUGGUACGUAGCCCAGUUCAAACAUAUUAAACCUCAUGAAAACGCGAGGACCCCAUCCUCAGCUCUGAAUCACAAGUAGUAUACCCAUUAUACCAACCGAAACCUUUCACUAAUUCAACUCCGCUAACAAAAUCACAACACAUACUGAACUCCCACACCGGUAGAACAUCUAAAUCAAACAUUGUAGCCCAACCAUACAGAAAUCACAUCAAAACUUACCUUAAUGAGUAACAGAAAGUCACUUCUAAUCUCGUAGCUCUCAAUAAUGAAUAAAACAAAACGAUAGACACGAGCUAGCACUAUAGAAUCUCCCAACAGGGGUAAACACAUAAGUAGAGUACAAAAAUCAUGAAACUCACCCAUAUGCGAAGCCAGAUAAGAGGACUCACCCCGAUAAGAAGAACCGAAUCAAAAUAAGAAUGAUUCUCCUCUAUAAUAAAUCGAAACCAUACAUGUAACGACAUCAUCAGGUUCAACGAUCUCAUCCCCACCAUAGAAAGAAUAUCAACAGGCCAGGCCUCCCCCUUUUGAGCGCCAUCUACCCGCCUGAAUACCCCAUUGCAACACAUCUGUCCGGAGUCUGGGAUAAUCUCUCACCGUGGCUGGUAUCUCCACACUCAAAGUAACCCCUCCGCUGGAGUGGCUGUGGAAGCUGUCCAAUAUGGGCACUUUGAGAUCCAUGGAUAUCUGAAGCACCGCGCGAAGCCUAAAGUGCAAAUUGAACUAGCUGACCCACAAAACCUCUACCAUGGCGUACCCUGCCUCCAAAAUAGGGACUAGUAGAUACUCUCGGUCCAUGAGGCUUAUUAGCCUCCCUGACCUCUUCCUCCUGAUCCCACAUGCCCUCUAAUCUAUAAGCAAUCUCUACCACCUACUGGAACGAAACAUCUAUCUCCAACUCCCGAGCCAUGCUGAAUCGGAUACCAUGACUGAGCCCCUCAAUAAACCUGCGGACUCGCUCUCUGACUGUAGAAACCAAAGCACGUGCAUGUCUGGACAAAUCACUGAAUCUAACAGCAUACUCUGACACGCGCCAUGCAUCCUGAAGGGUCUAAGGAACAAACUCUCUCAAGGACAUCUUUGAAAAUUAAGUCCAUGAAAGUGAAGCUACAUCGACCGGGCUACCAAACUUGUAUGCUAGCCACCACUGAUAUGCCGCUCCCUUAAGCUGGAAUGUAGUAAAAGCAACCCCACUCGUCUCCACAAUACCCAUAGUGCGUAGAAUGCGGUGGAACUCCUCUAGAAAACCAUGUGCAUCCUCUGAAGCCAAACCACUAAAGGUAGGAGGGCAGUACUUCUUGAAUCUCGCAAUUCUAAGCUAUUCCUCCUCAGAGGUUGCUGCCCUAACCACGGGAUAAACUGGAACAACAGGUUGUGUCGGCAUGACACCUAGAACCUGACCAACGUGGACUCGCUUCUCUGGAGUACGGGUAGUGGGAGUCUAAGCUACUCCCCGGUCUGCGAAGUACCUGGUGCAACUGGAACCAGCCCCGCCUGAGCCAAUGUGCCAAACAUGCUCAGGAACUGUGCUAAAGUCUCCUUAAGUCUGAGGGUAACAACAGGCGCCUCCGGUACUUUUCCCCCAACAGGAGCUACUGGCGGCUCCUCAGUUGUUGCUCUAACAAGUGCUCUAGUUGUAGCACGUGCUCCUCCUCUACCUCUACAUAUGCCUUUGCCUCUGCCUCGGCCCCUAGCAACAUCAUUUCUGGGGACAACAUCAUCAGUAACUACAACUUGUAUUCUCACCAUCUGUGAUAGAAUAGAAUGACAAAGGCUCAAACAAUGAGAUCAAUAAAUUCGCACUAUAGGAAUGAAAGAAGUGAAACUAUCCUAAUAGUUUCGUAGCCUCUCGAAGAUAAGUACAAAUGUCUCCAUACCGAUCUGCUAGACUCUACUAAACUCGCUUAUAACUCGUAGCACCUGUGAACCUAGAGUUCUGAUACCAACUUGUCACAACCUCAAUUUCCCUCUGUAAAAUGUCGUGAUGGCACCUAGUCUUAGAGACUAAGUAAGCCUAAUAGUUACUGAAUUAAUGGCCAACUCAACCCACGUCUUAACAAUCCCAAAAUCGGUAGUACAAGUCAUAAGCUCUACUGAGUUUAUUAGAAAAUCUCUAAAUACAACUAUUCCGGAAUAGAAAUAAAAUUACAAAGUAAGCUUUCAUAAGGCGACUCCGAGGCAUGCGAACACGGCGGCAGGUAUACCUUGAGUCUCCACAGCAAAGUCUGAAUAGCUAGCUAAUGAACAACCAACUCCGUAGUACCUAGAUGUGCACGAAAAUGUGCAGAAAGCGUAGCAUGAGUACACCACAACUGUACCUAGUAAGUAUCAAGACUAACCUCGGUGAAGUAGUGACGAGGGACGGUCAAGACACCUACUGGACUAGAUAAUAUAAACAAGUAUAAAUGUGAACUAGCAGGGGACAAUAUCAAUAAAGAGUUAAGCGUGAUAACAAUAACAAAACAAUGCUUGCAAUAGGAAACUAAGAGCAACAAUUAGCAAUAGGGAACAAACAAAUGAUAACGCAGUUUAAGUCCAGUGAAACCAAAUAAAGGAACUCAAGUAACAACUCAAUAAGAACAACCGCUUUCACACCAGAUUUAUUCUAGAAUUUUCACGAGGUACCAAACCUCAUAAUCACGGGUCCCAAUUCAUGAACCCUAAUCACUUGGCAUCUUGUUCCCUCAUUACAAUGUAUAACCGCAUGGACGACUCACGUGCCAAGAGCGUGACAAUAUCUAACAUCCGCACGGAUCACUCACAUAACCGCACGAACAACUCACGUGCCAAUAGAACAACUCUCCCACAAAAGGCAAGUAGACGAGAGUACAUGUAAAUGGGCAAUAACAUCAGGGUUCAUCUUCUUAAAUCGAUACAGGUGAUUAAUUACGUGUAUGCUUGUGCAAAUGUUCUAUCGCAAUUCAAGUCAACAAGUAAGAGUAGAGACAAUAAAUGGCACAUAAGAAACAAUCACCACAAAAUGUACAAGGUAUAACUCACACAAGUAGGCACACCACUACACAGACAUCAACAAUAACAAUGCCCCUAGGCCAUCACAAGUCAUCAUAAAUCAUUCCCCGACAUAGCCCACCUUGUCUCGCCACAUGCCCAACAAUAAAGUAAAUGCCCACCUUGUCUCGCCGCACGCGCAUAAUAAUAUUCUCAUAUUGUCUCGCCACAUGCGCGAACCCACAUAUAUAUCUCGCCUUGUCACGAUGCAUGUGCAAAUAUCAAUAACAACAAUAUCACGGACAACUCACGUGCGAAUACCCCGAUAAUUCUCUCAACAAUAUCAUGUAUGCCAAAAACAUAACAACACAACAUAGGGUCUUUCACCACAUGUGCCCAUAUGCCACAACUUUUCCUCAAAACAAUUUCAAUACCACAAUCAUGCAUAGCCUCGGCUCAACAACACUGAGUACAACAACAACAACAAUAAUAACAUGAGAGUACGGCAAGUAAAUCAACACAGGAACUUUAGAAUACAAAGAAACGGAAGAACAAGCUCACAAAGAAAGGCACAACAUGGAAUAAUGGUCUCAACAAGAAUAGCUCAACAAGGGGAGAGAUACUAUAGAACAAUGAUUCCACAUAGGUACAGCUCGACGAAAUGGUGAAUCUAGUAAAUAGAGGAUUUGACAUGGUAAGACAACUUCAUUUUUUUAAUGGACAUAGGAACCUAAGAGCCUAAGAUGGUCAAAUGACAUAAUUAGCACAUGUGACUUCACGUACACGGCCUUCACAUGAAACAAUUAGCACAAAUGACUAAAAUCCUAAGGGGUAGUUACCCCACACAAGGUUAGACAAGAUACUUACCUCAAAAAAUCUAGACCGAUACUCUAAAAUGACCUCCUUGUGUGAAACACCCUCCGGACGGCUCAAAUCUAAUCAAAAUAACUUCAAAUCAUAAAUAAAACUCGUAGGAAAUAAUUCUGGAUAAUAAAUCUUCGAUCUUUAAUUAAAACUAAAAAUUCAACCCCGGACCCGCAUCUCGGAAUUCAAAAAAAUUUACAAAAUUCGAACACCCAUUUGAUAACGAGUCCAACCAUACAAGAAUUACCAAAUUUCGAUAUCAAAUUGUCCUUCAAAUUCGCAUUUUAUAUUUUUGAAAAUUUUCCCAAAAUAUCUCAUUUUCCCCAUUCAAAUCACUAAUUUAAUGUUAAAAAUAAAUAUUGAAUUGUGAAAUAUAACCAAAUCCAUGUAAAGAAUAUAUACCCCAAGGAAAUUCUUUAAAAACCCACGAAUAAUCGCUCAAAUCCGAAGUCCCUGGCUCAAAAUAUGCUAAAAUACCUAAAACCUUUGAAAUAGAGUACUUAAAAGUCUGUUCAGGGGUAACCUUAACGAUCGAUGUCAAAACCUCGCGAUCGCUAUCACAAAAGUUUUCAAGGAUAGUUUUACUCUAUGCAAUCGCGGUCAUUUCCCCACGAUCGCGAUGAACAAACUUCUAUUAACUCUCCCCAAACUCUUCCAGACAGCCUAUAGUGUAUCCGCCAUAACCAUUAGUAUAAAACUCUAAAUGGCAAAUGGUUUAAAUUUCUGAAAUCUAGACACAAAGAUCUAUAACUUUCAUUUUUGGAUCAUCUCCAAAUUCCUUAUAGAUUGCAAGAUAUGAACUUUCAAAGUUGGGUGAGUAACAUCAGAAUUUUCCUCUAUGCGAUCGCGAAAAACCUUCCGCGAUCGCGAUUCACAGGCUCAUUUUCCCCAUUUUACUCUUCGCGAUCGCGACCAAUUCUACUUGAUCGCAAUACACACUUAUUAGCAAUAAACCAGCAACAAAAAUGGCCAAGACAUAUUCCAAAACCACCCAAAACUCACCCGAACCCCUCGAGACCCCAUCCUAACAUAACAAGUCGCAUAACAUAAUGUGGACCUGCUCGAGGCCUCAAAUCACAUCAAACAACAUCAAAACUAUGAAUCGCACCUCAAAUCGAACUAAAUGGACUUGUGUACUUUCAAAUUCUAUGACUCGCGCCGAAUCAUAUCAAAUCAACCCAGAAUGACGUCAAAUUUUGCAUGCAAGUCCCAAAUGACAUAAGGGAGUUAUUACAACCCUCAGAAUCACAAUCCGAACCCGAUAUCAACAAAGUCAACUCCCGGUCAAACCUCUCAACCUUCCAAACCUUCAACUUUUCAACUUUCACCAAAAUGCAUCAAAUCAAUCUACGAACCUCCAAAUCCAAAUCCGGACAUACGCCUAAGUCCAAAAUCACCAUACGAAGCUAUUGGAAUCAUCGUAAUACCAUUUCAGAGUUGUCUACACAAGAGUCAAAUUCCGGUCAAGCCUUUUCACUUAAGCUUCUAAAACAAGAAUUGUUCUUCCAAAUUAAUCUCGAAUCAUCUAAAAACCGAACUCGACCACACACGCAAGUCAUAAUACAUGAUACAAAGCUUCUCGAGACUUUAAAACAUCUAACGGAAUGCUAAUUCUCAAAAUGACAGGUCGGAUCGUUAUAACCAUUAAAUGUCAUUCUAUAACUAACAAUGCAUCAUAGUAUGAGGUUUUGAUCGCAGGCCUCGAAUUUGUAAGGGGAUAGGAGCAAAACAUAUAGAAUUGAAAAGCAACUCAAAACUAGUGGUCAACCAAGUAUAGGGGCUUACGAGGCAUGAGACUCGCAGAUAAUGCAAUUCCUAAAUAGAGUCACUUCUCUCCUUGGUCAUUUUCAGGAAUAGAAGGCCACUCAAAUACCCCGGGAAGAAUAUGACGAAGUUAAUGCCCUGGCCACGCUAGGGUCAUCUUUGAGCAUCAUUGAAUUGGGGAAAAAUUUGAUGGUUCAUCUAUUCUACUCUACUAUAGAUCAGCAACUGGAUAAGCAACCAUGGCUCAUUUGGUUUAGGAAUAGCAUGGAGAAAUCGUCGAUUAUUUGCAAAAUGAAACAUUGGUAGAAGAUAAGAAAAUAUCUCAAAAGCUUCAAAACAAUGCUACCAAAUAUUUCCUUGUAUCAGAUAAUUUGUACCGAAGAACCUACAACAGUCCACUAGUCAAGUGUUUAAGCCUAAAGGAUACCGAUUAUGUGAUGCGAGACGUUCAUGAAGGAAACUGCAGAAACCAUACGGGGCACCGAUCCUUGGUUCAAAUUUGUUAAGGGUCGGUUACUUCUGUCCCAGAUGAAACGAGAUGCAACAGAUUUUGUAAUAAAAUAUGAGAAAUACCAGCGGUUCCCCCGAUAAUGCACCAACAUGUGGAGUUAUUUAUUCAGUUCUAGCUCUGUGGCCCUUCAUGAAAUGGGGAAUGGUUAUUAAGUGACCGCUAUCACAAGCCUCUGGAAAAGUAAUAUUUCUCCUGGUCAUCACUAACUAUUUCUCUAAAUGGAUAGAAGCAUGCGCAUUUGCUAAAUCAGAGAAAAGGAAGACAUAAGCUUCAUAUGGAAGAAUAUUAUAUGCAGAUUCGGAGUACCGAAGGAAAUAACCUGUGAUAACGGGCCUCAGUUUGUCAUAUGCAAAACAAAAGAAUUCUACAAAGAAUGGAAUAUCAAGAGGGCUACCUCCCUCAUGUACCAUCCCGAAACAAAUGGACAAGCAGAAUCAUCUAACAAGGUUUUGCUAAAUUCGUUAAAAAGAGAUUGGAAGUAGCUAAGGGGAAUUGGUCAGAUGAACUGCACGGAGUACUUAGGGCCAAUAGAUAAACAACAAAAUCUAGCACCGAGGAAAUCCCCUUUUCCCUGGUAUACAGUACAAAAACACUCAUCCCGGUAGAAAUAGGGGAACCUAGCCUAAGGUUUACUCAUGCUACGAAAGAAGGCAACAACAAAAUGUUGGUUGUAGAAUUAGAUUUACUUGAGGGACGCCGAGAAUUGGCCAUAGUCUGAAUUGUUUCCUAGAAGUAGAAGAUCAAGAAAUAUUACAAUAAAAAAUAACCUUUAACACUUCAAGACUAGGGGCUAUGAACUUUGGAGUGUAUUCUCAGCAACACAGGAACUGAGCGUAGGAAAACUCCGCUCCGACCGGAAAGGACCAUAACAGAUCAUAGAAGUGACAAGGAAAGAAUCCUACAAGCUCGAAGUGAUGGAUGAAAAGCCCAUGAAAUUAAAUUGGAAUGCAUUCCACCUCAAACGGUUCUAUUUCUAGAAUCGCGAAGGUUUUUAUCUCCUUUCUUAUGCACGCAUUACAAACUAUCUUUCUAUGAAGUCCCGAUAGGUCAAACAGAGUACUAGCCUUUAUUUCAAUAUUUAGAGACCUCUAUUAGCUCCAUUUAAUGUUUCUCAAUUUGCGUGUGUAGUCCCUAUCUUUUUCUAGAAAGAUUUUAUGUGAAAAUUCGAAGAAAAUAUGAUUUUAGCUCAAAAAAUAACUUCAGCUGACUACGGUCAACAUUUUGUCUAAAUGAUCCCGGAUCGGUAUUAUAACAAUCCUGGUGGGUCUGUAUCAUAAUUUUAGACUUGGGUGUUUGCCCGAAAUUGAAUUCAGAAGUCCCUAACUUGAUUUGACUUAUUUUGCCGAAAGCUAGUAACUUGAAGGUUUAAAAACUUCCUAGGUUUGACUGUAGGUUGACUUUAUGGCUACCAGGUUCGGAUUUUGACUUUAGGACUAAGUAUAAGUCUGUUUUGCUAUUUAAAACUUGUCCACAAAAUUUAAUGCAAAUAUGAGUUGGUUUGAUAGGAUUCAGAAGCUCGGUUGUGAUUUUUGAAGUUCUUGAGUUUCUUUGAAAUAUUUCAUACAUUUUGAUAUCUGAUUCGUAGUUCUAGGUGUUAUUUUGAUAUUUUGAUCAUGCGAGCAAGUUCAUAUGAUGUUAUUAUAAUUGUGUGCAUAGUUGUUUUGGAGCCCGAGAGGCUUGGGUGAGUUUCGGACGCGUUUAAGAUGAGUUUGUUUAGUGUAUGGACUGCUGAUGCAAUGUUCAUUUCUGGUGUCUUAUGUAGAUCUCGUAUUUGCGAGGUCUGGAUAUCAUUUGCGAGCAUCGCUUUUGCAAUCAAGACAUCGUAUUUGCGAUCAGGGGCCUGGUCUGGGUGAUAUUGCAAUUGCGAGGAAUAAGUUCUCAUUUGCGAACAAUCAGAGGUCGCAUUUGCGAUCUCAAAGUCGCAUUUGCGACUUAGUGUUCUGAGGGGUGACCUUAGCAUUUGCGAAGUUGGAAGAUUUCGCAAUUGCGAACCUUUUGUGGCAUUUGCGACUUUCAGACUUCUGAGACAGGGUUCGCAUUUGCGACCUUUGUCUUGCAUUUGCGGUUCUCUCAAUUGCGGUGCUCGCAAUUGCGAACAAUACUUUGCAAUUGCGACAUUCGCAGCUGGGUAAAAGAUGGAAAAAUCGGCACUUAGCUCAUUUUACACCAUUUUUCAACUUAAACACUAUAAAGGCGAUUUGUCAAGAGACUUUUCUUCCCAAAAUCAUUGGUCUCCAUUUCUUUUUAAUUACCUAUUACUUUUCAUGUAUUUUCAACAUCAAAUCAAGGAUUUCCAUGGUAGAAAUUAGGAAUUUCGGUAGAAAUUGGAAAUUUUGUAAAAAUUGAGAUUUAGACCUUAAAUUAAGGUUGGAUUUCAAAAUAAAUCAUAUAAUCGGGCUCGGGUGAAUGGGUAAUAAGGUUUUGGUCCGAACCUCGAGUUUUGACCAAGCAAGCUCGGGGUUGACUUUUGUUGACUUUUUUCAAGAUCAUUAAAGAUUGUAUCUUUUUCACCUAUGGGUAGUUUCUAAAGCCUAUUUUAAAUUAUUUGAACUUUAUUUGGAUAGAUUUUAUUAGUUUGGAGGCUAAUUCUAAAGGAAAAGCCGUGGUUGUGCCUUGAUUUGGUUGCGGAGCGAGGUAAGUACCGCAGUUGUGCCUUGAUUUGAUUGAGUUCUCAGGUAAAUUUAAUCACUUGAUUUAUCUAAUUUAUCGAUUAAUCGGGUUUAUUAUGCUCACGAAGUUCUUUCGAUUCUUCGCUCUCCUACUCAAGACAACUCAAUACUAUAUGUCUAUAGAAUUAGAAUUAAUAAAAAUGCAUGUAGAUUUCCUGUGAAAAUAAUCAAGUAAGGCAAAUAGAAUAUGUCUAUCAUAAUCGCGAAUCUAUUCUCCGAUGCCCGGAUUAAGGAACUUACUCUAUUCAAUCUUAUAUGCAAUUUAUUGUUCCCACUUUCGAGUUCAACUAUGAAUUCGCAGAUAGUACUCUAUUGUUAUCUACGCAACAAGAUAAUUAAGUGUAAGAUUGAAUAAAUAAAUUAAUAUGGUAAACCAAACAAAGCAAUCAACUGUCAACUACAAUAGUCAAUAACGACCCAUAAACUCAGACUAAUGAGGUUCUUAGUCACUCAUGAUAUAGUUAAACAAUUUCAUAAGAGUUGAAUGGUUGAAAAUACUAAGAAAGAUGAAGAAAUACUGAGAAUCCUUGCUCCCAAGUGUUUCAUGCUUGUGUUUUGCUCUCAAAGUGGCGUCUCCCCCUCCAAAAUAGGUUUAGAUUUCUUUUUAUACGAGUUGGGGUAUGUAGGGCCGUCGAAACCUUGUCCCGGGCAAAAUAGGUUAGUGUCCCGUCAACCAAAGUCCAGGGCUAGCGCGUCGUGAUAGCCCUGGAGCUGGCCUGUUGGCCAAAAUAUUUAGAUCUGUAAACUGCGCCACGGGUAGCGUGAUACACUACCCAGGGCACUACACUGGCCCAUUUGUUUUUGUUCCCUUUUUGCUUCAAAUUGUGCACUUUCAUCCCACAUUGCCUCUCGAUGAUUCCUGCACAUAAAAUACCAUGAAUUAGAAUAAAUUUAUACAUUAUUCCAUAAAAUAGGAGCAAAAUGUGAGGCAAUAUGCAUAUAAAUAUAUAUACUUUAAGCCGAAUAUCAAUGGACCUACCUGAAUCUUUUGAGUAGGGACUCUACAAAUAUGGCAUGCUAGGCAAACUCAGCAUGAGUUUCAAAAUUCCUCAAGGAAGAAACAGUCUUAUCUCUUUCACAACCAAGUGUAAUGACCCGGCCGGUCGUUUUGAGUAUUAUAACCUCGUUUUCCCAUUUACUGCUCAAUUUAUGCUUUAUAUUUGUUAUGUGACUUGCCAGGGGUAAUUGGUUCGGGUCCGAUGAGGUUUUUGAAUGAUUUGCAACACCUAGUUCCAAGGUUUCAAAAUUCAGUUGAAAAUAUUGACCAGAUGUUGACGUAUGUGUAGUGACCCGAAGAAUAUUUGCUAAGGAAAUUAAGGUUUUAUGGGGUCGAGGUAGAUCAAUUAGUACAAAGGAAGCUCGCUGCGGCUCAGACUUUUUGGGUUGAACAAUGCACCGGAAAGUAAAGAAAAAUUUUUGGCAGAAAAAUGCGUUUCUGCGGUCCAUUAUGUGACCGCAUAAUCACUCUGCGGGCCGCAUAGUGGCCGCAGAAGAGGGCCAGUUUGGAUGAAAUCUGCAGUCGACUAUGAGACCGCAUAACUGUUCCGCGGUCACUAUGCGACACCGAUUAUGCGACUGAUAUGCGGUCCGCAUAACCAUUAUGCGGUCGCAUAUGCGACCGCAGAAUCCGUUCCGGAGCUUCAUUUUUCUGAUUUUAUAAACCCGAUCCCAUUCUUAUAAAACACUAUUGGGGGUCAUUUUGAAGGGUUUCAUCUGAUAUUUUAGAGAGAGGUGAGAGCAUUUUAGAGAGAGAAAGUGAAGACUUAGUCAUUUAUCCAUCAAUUUCUUGUUCAAGGUUUGAAGAUUUCACAAGGAUCUUGCUAGGGCUUCAAAGAGAUAAGAAUUUCUUUCCUCAAUUCUUCAAUUUCUGGUUGGAGUAAAGAAGGGUGAUUUAUAAUAUAGUUCUUGGGUAUAAGAGUAUUAUGUAUACAUACCAAUAAGGUUAUGGAAAGAUUGUUAGGUUCAAAUGAGUAAAGAUUGAGUUGAAAAUGGUAGAAAUCUUCAUAGACUUUAAUUGAAGAUUUGAGGCUUGAGUUGAUGUCGGAUUUUGGUAAAAUUUGUAUAGUUGGACUCGUAGUUGGAUGGGCGUUCAUAUUCUGUAAUUUUUGUUGGGUUCCGAGACGUGGGGCCCAUGGGCGAUUUUGAUUUAAUUUCGGAAUUUUUGUUAAAAUAUUAAUUUCGUUAAUUAGAUGAGUCUAUUAUUGUUAUAUUUAUGAUAUGUAAUUUCUUUUGGCUAGAUUUGGGCCAUUCGGAGCCGGAUAUUCGUGGAAAAGGCAUUGUGACCGAUUGAUUGAGCUUGGUUCGAGGUAAGUGGCUUGUCUAACUUCGUGUGGGGGAAAUCCCCUUAAGAUUUAGAACUAUUGUGCUAUGUGAGCGCCGUGUACGUGAGGUGAUGAGUACGUACACGGGCUAGUUGUGGAGAAACCCGAUUUUCUUACUGAGCAGCAACAUGUUUUUCUGUUAUUUUGAGUUAUACCAUUUUAAUGAGUACUAAUCUACUUUCAUUAUUAAAUGAGUUAUUCCAAUAUGUGUAACUAUCAUGUUUAGUCUAAUACAACAUGUCUACGUGUCUUAAUUGUUUAUGUGAAUUAUGUGCAGCAUGCUUAAUGAACUUCCUGCUUCUUCCCUGACUGGUACUUAGUCUAAAUUGUGAGAAUUUUGUGAUGUAGUUGUAUUUCUAUCAUUCGCGCUGCAUAUUUACUUUGGGACUACGGAACGGUAUUUCGGGAUAUUCCCCUGUCUUACAUAUUUACUUUGGGUCUACGGAACGGUAUUCCGAGAGAUCCCCCUGCACAUUUAUUUUGGGACUAUGGAACGGUAUUUCGGGAGAUCCCCCUGCACAUUUAUUUUGGGACUACGAAACGGUAUUCCGGGAGAUCCCCUUGCACAUUUAUUUUGGGACUACGGAACGGUAUUCCGGGAGAUCCCCUGCACAUUUAUGUUUGGGACUACGAGACGGUAUCUCGGGAGAUCCCCAGUUGUGUUUCUGUAUACUGAGUUGUUACCUUCUAUGAUUUCAUUAUUGUUAAAUUUCAUCCUUUAUUUUAUUGCGGUAUUACACUCUAUAUUAUUUUAUUAUAUAUUUACCAGUAGGGCCCUGACCUGACCGCGUCACUACUCGACCGAGGUUAGGCUUGGCACUUACUGGGUACCGAUUGUGGUAUACUCAUGCUACUCUCUGCACAUAUUUUUCAUGUGCAGAUCCAGGUGCACCUUAUCGGCCCCACUAUCAGUGAGCCGGGACAGCUUUGGAGACUUCAAGGUAUAUCUGCCUCAUCCGCAGACCUCGGAGUCCCCUUCUACUCUUUCUCAUGUCCAUUAUCUUCUGUAUUUUUCCUUGUUAGACUCUGAUGUAUAGAGAUACUAGAUUUUUUUUUCUGUAGUUUGUGAUUCACGAUGUUCCGGGUUUUGGGAUUUGC